rnacentral:rRNA from 1 species
UACAGGGGGGGCAAGCGUUGUUCGGAAUUACUGGGCGUAAAGGGUUCGUAGGUGGCUUACUAAGUCAGACGUGAAAUCCCUCAGCUUAACUGGGGAACUGCGUCUGAUACUGGAAAGCUUGAGUGCAGGAGAGGAACGCGGAAUUCCAGGUGUAGCGGUGAAAUGCGUAGAUAUCUGGAGGAACACCGAUGGCGAAGGCAGCUCGCUGGGACGGUACUGACGCUGAGGCGCGAAAGCGUGGGGAGCAAACAGG